rnacentral:rRNA from 1 species
GAUGAACGCUAGCGGCAGGCUUAACACAUGCAAGUCGAGGGGCAGCGCGAUGUAGCAAUACAUUGGCGGCGACCGGCGCACGGGUGCGUAACACGUAUGGAACUUACCCUUUACUGGGAGAUAGCCCGGAGAAAUCCGGAUUAAUAUCCCAUAAUAAACGAAGUGGCAUCACUUUGUUUUGAAAGCUCCGGCGGUAAAGGAUGGCCAUGCGCACGAUUAGCUAGUAGGUGAGGUAACGGCUCACCUAGGCUACGAUCGUUAGGGGGCCUGAGAGGGUUAUCCCCCACACUGGUACUGAGACACGGACCAGACUCCUACGGGAGGCAGCAGUGAGGAAUAUUGCGCAAUGGAGGCAACUCUGACGCAGCCAUGCCGCGUGCAGGAAGACGGCCUUCUGGGUUGUAAACUGCUUUUAUCUGGGGAUAAAAAGCCCAUGCGUGGGACAUUGAAGGUACCAGAUGAAUAAGCACCGGCUAACUACGUGCCAGCAGCC